AUGUACCACGCGUAUACUCCGGUUCCUCCGCGCCGUCCGCACCCACCUGACGACUGCUCGCUACGUUUUGUUGGCC
rnacentral:sRNA from 1 species